UCUGUCAUUGGUUUGCAACACUCCCCCACGGUACGACGAAUCUCGUUCGGCUUACUUAUAUUCAAACCGACAUCUAAAACGGCGAUUUUCACGGCCGGCCUCUCCAAUAUUCCAUGUGAAGUUUGAACGGCUGCUCGACGAACCUGACCAUCUUUGGAAAACACCACAUCCACGACCCGACCCUUGGGCCAACAGUUUCGAGGGAGAUUGCUGUCUACUAUUAAUACGAUGUCUCCCUUCUCGAUGGGUUUUAUCGGCUGGAACCAUUUUGUUCUUCGUGUCAAGGAUUUCUUCAGCAUCGAUGAACUGCCGUCAAAGGGGAUCAACGGUUUACUACCAUUAGACGAGCCCAUUAAAAAGUGGUUAGGAGUCAAUGGAAAACAGGAUUCAUCAUCUAACGGUACAUGAGAUCUCAUCAGUAGGAUGUCGAGGGAACUUCAUCUGGUUCAACACCUUUUUAACCGACUGAAUCAUUCUUUCCCAACAACCUCCAAAGUGCGGUGAAGCUGGCGGAUUAAAGGUCCACUUGGUGUCCGGACCCUCGAAGUACUCCAUCAUCCUCUCUUGGCUAAGUUGUUGUAGGACUGCACGUAAUUCGCGGCUAGCGCCAAUAAAAUUUGUACCACGAUCGCUGACGAUUUCAA